rnacentral:rRNA from 1 species
UGCGUAGGUGGCGGGGUAAGUCGGAUGUGAAUCUCCGAGCUCAACUCGGAAAUGGCAUUGGAAACUACCUUGCUCGAGGGUUGGAGGGGGGACUGGAAUGCUUGGUGUAGCAGUGAAAUGCGUAGAUAUCAAGCGGAACACCAGUGGUGAAGGCGAGUCCCUGGACAACUCCUGACACUGAGGCACGAAAGCUAGGGAGCAAGCA